GACAGGGCGGGUGUAUGAACCACACUGGAGGCAGGAGGACAGCUGUCCCACUCUCUACUCAUUGUCACUGGGCUCAGAAACGCUGAGAUUUUAAUAAGAUCAUAAAGUAGAGUGACACGGCCUAGCAUGAUAGGCCAAGCAGCUGGACCUGGAGCAGUUCUGCUGACUUCUCCCCACGCAGCCCGGCUGGUGGGGCACAGGUUCAUACUGAUGGAGAGGACACCGGUGCAGAGUGACAAGAGAGGAACCCCUCAACACAGCAAUUUACAUUCCUGCCAGAGGAGCUCUCAGUCAACAUGGUUUUCCUGUAGAAAUUCUAAUACAGUGUGAGACUGGCCAACUUUUCCAGUGUUAGCAAACCAUAUUUGCAUGUAUUAAAUAAAUUAUAAACCUUGUGUGUAAAUGGAUUCAAUGGGGCAGUAACGUAAGUAAUGGUGGGAUUUGGUGUUUAGUAUGACACAGGAUCCUUUGAAAUGCU
rnacentral:lncRNA from 1 species